rnacentral:rRNA from 1 species
GACGAACGCUGGCGGCGUGCUUAACACAUGCAAGUCGAACGGAAAGGCCCUGCUUUUGUGGGUUGCUCGAUUGGCGAACGGGUGAGUAACACGUGAGUAACCUGCCCUUGACUUUGGGAUAACUUCAGGAAACUGGGGCUAAUACCGGAUAGGAGCUCCUGCUGCAUGGUGGUGGUUGGAAAGUUUCGGCGGUUGGGGAUGGACUCGCGGCUUAUCAGCUUGUUGGUGGGGUAGUGGCUUACCAAGGCUUUGACGGGUAGCCGGCCUGAGAGGGUGACCGGCGACAUUGGGACUGAGAUACGGACCAGAAUCGUACGGGAGGCAGCAGUGGGGAAUAUUGCACAACGGGCGGAAGCCUGAUGCAGAAACGCCGCGUGCGGGAUGACGGCUUUCGGGUUGUAAACAGCUUUCGACUGUGACGAAGCGUGAGUGACGGUAAUGGGUAAAGAAGCAACGGCUAACUACGUG